rnacentral:lncRNA from 1 species
CAGAAAACAAGGUCUAGAUCUUUAAUAGAAUGUGCAAAUUUUGAGAGUAGUAGGAAAUUCAUGUGUAAGAACUUUCAUUUCCAUAUAGAAAAUGAUAUGUUUUAUCAUAUUUAUGGUUGUAUUUUAUAAAAACCAGAAAAGUUUUGUUUGAUUAAUUUUUUUCCAACUUUGCCACAUAAGGGGAGGCAACUCAAAUGCAAGGGCAGAUA